AUGCCUUCGCUCUAUUCCUUCACACUUUCACACGUCUUCAUAUCACAAACCCUAAUGAUGAUGUCUCCCUCUCAACCAUCCAUGGCCGCCUUCGUAUCUACCGCAUCUGUGGCCAUCUUCUUUGUACCUGCGACCACCACAAGACCUCUGUCUUUUCAUCUCACGAUCCGGUUGUAGAAACCCUAAGAGGGGCCUGUGUUUAUCAAUCUCUCUUUAGAACCUUCCAUCCAUUGCGUUUCCUUCUCAAGCAAAUCUCUUACUUCAGAAGAAACAACUCAGAUAUCCUUGUAACCAUCCUGUUGAUGGAUUAUCUGCCCGUUUUGCUGACAAAAACAAUCUGUUUGAAUUGAAUGGAGCCUCACGAUUAUUGGGCUGCCUGAUAUAUUAUAGUAAGAUUGUUCUGUUGAUUUUUGUUUUAAUUUUGAAA